AGCUCAGUGGUUCAAUGGUAAAGCCCUCGUAGCGGAACCAGAAGGUCCUGGGUUCAAUCCCCAGCCGGGUCA
rnacentral:tRNA from 1 species